rnacentral:lncRNA from 1 species
AGGUUUUCCUCAAAUGUGUGAUGACCUUAGCUGACACGGACUGUUGUGCAGACUCAAGCUCACUCGGGGCUGGGCAGCAGACAGUGAUUAUCAUCACCCACUGCUUUCAUCCAUUACGGCGGGUGUUAGCAAUGCCGCUGAGGACUCAGAAGAAGCCAGUGCUAAGGCUUUCUCCAGUUUCUCUCCUCCCACUUUAAGACUCUCUUGGAGAAUCAUAAUCCAAGCUGCGAAGUCCAACAAUUCCUCUGGAGAAA